CAAAAACUAUCACAAGAUCAGUUUCCCUAACAGAUAAAGAAAGAAAAAAAGUUUCCUAAGAAAAAACCCUAUCAACAUUGCCAAAGAUGCGUAAUCCAUGCAAAGGGAAGAGUUCAUGGCCGGAGUUGGUUGGUAAGGCAGGAAAAGAAGCAGAGAGGAUAAUUGAGAAAGAGAAUCCAUGGGUGAAUGCUGAUAUUGUUGAGGAAGGUUCAGUGGUGGGUCAAGACUUUAGGUGCGACAGGGUUUGGGUUUGGGUGGAUCCACAAACAGCCAUUGUCACUAGGACUCCUGUCGUUGGUUAAAAUUAAAUAUAUAUGUUUUAAAUUAUGUGUUCGUUUCAAUACUAUUACUCAAAUGCCAAUUCAUGUUUGUUCCUAACCACAUGAAUUAUAUUAUUUCAAUAAGGUGUUUGUGAUCUUUUCUUCCUUUUCUUUUCAAAGAUGUCUGUACUGAUAUAAUGUACUACUUGUGUUACGUGGUUUGCCGGAAAAUAAAAAUAUUUGUUAUGUGUUAUGGUA